rfam:Candidatus Thiomargarita nelsonii contig_1340, whole genome shotgun sequence.
GUCAACAACCCCUAAGCCCUUCGGGACUUAGGGGCUUUUCAUCUUAGGAUUUGAAGCCCAGUUGACCAGGUUAAGUGUUCAAUCACUCUGUUAGGGACGAAUAUUAUAGGCACUCCGUGAUGCUUCAGAGGAAAAAGUUUUUGCGCGCAAAAACAUUUUCCUCUGAAACCAGUUGCGGACUCUGCGGCAAAUCAUUAAACAGGCAUAAGGGUUUAAAGCCAGUGUGAUUUGUUUAGGUAGCUUGCUACUUAUAAACCGUUCUAUAACCUUACCGAGGUGAAUUUAAC